rnacentral:sRNA from 1 species
UUUCUUCUUUUACGGGUAUUGGUUUAGCCACGCGCGCGCCUGAUACCCCACCAGGCGCCCGGCAAGACGGGUCGCCACCACAGAGUUCUCAGAACCCCCGGUCGGUAACCCGACCGGGGG